GACGAACGCUGGCGGCGUGCUUAACACAUGCAAGUCGAACGGAAAGACCCUGCUUUUGUGGGGUGCUCGAGUGGCGAACGGGUGAGUAACACGUGAGUAACCUGCCCUUGACUUUGGGAUAACUUCAGGAAACUGGGGCUAAUACCGGAUAGGAGCUCCUGCUGCAUGGUGGGGGUUGGAAAGUUUCGGCUGUUGGGGAUGGACUCGCGGCUUAUCAGCUUGUUGGUGGGGUAGUGGCUUACCAAGGCUUUGACGGGUAGCCGGCCUGAGAGGGUGACCGGCCACAUUGGGACUGAGAUACGACCCAGACUCCUACGGGAGGCAGCAGUGGGGAAUAUUGCACAAUGGGCGGAAGCCUGAUGCAGCAACGCCGCGUGCGGGAUGACGGCCUUCGGGUUGUAAACCGCUUUCGCCUGUGACGAAGCGUGAGUGACGGUAAUGGGUAAAGAAGCACCGGCUAACUACGUG
rnacentral:rRNA from 1 species